ACCUCCUGCAAGAUGUGCUGUCCCCCAACUCCAGCUGUGGCAGCUCCUUGGAUGGGGCAGCCAGCCCAGACAGCUACACAGAAGAGCCUGUACCCAAGCACACAGCCCGCAGCCUCCAUCCAGCCAUGCUGCCCACUGCUGAUGGAGCAGGCCCUCGGUGAUGGGUCUGGCACCAUCCUGGGCCAGCCAGGAGGGUGCCCUCAGGCCGCUGGGACUGUGGGCUUCGGGCAGGUGGGUGAAGACUGGGCAGCUCUGAAGUAGGGCAGUGGACUUGAUGAGCUUUCCUUGAUGCCUGAACUUUGGGAAGCCCAAACUGCCCUUGGGGCUGGCUUUCUCAUUUCCUGCCUCAGUAGGAGAACAGAAAAAUGGAGCAAAGUGAAGAGGAGUAACCGCUCCAGGUACCUGACCUUUGUACAGCCCAGAGGCCAACACUGUGGGCGUGUGACUAGCGACAAAACCCAUGUGGUGGUGAUGUGUGUAUAUAUAUAAGGAUAUAUUGGGAAGAUUUCUAAAUAAAAGUUUUACAAAGGGG